UUGGACAGUUUAGGAAUGAGGGUAAUAGUUGCAACAGUUUAUUGGUUUGCACAUCCUAGUUGAGGUGAAAAACUGCUUAAUGGCAGUGGUGACUUGGUUACCAAUGAUGCCCCAGCUCUAUUUGAAGAAUACAGCAUUGUAUCCAUCUAUCCCUGGUGCUUUGUCAUCUCCAAUAGCCUUGAGACUCUCUACUAUUUCUGUAUCAGUUACUCCAGCACAUAGUUCCUGUCUUUGCUGUUGUGUCAGUUUUGGGCCAUUUGACAUAUACAUUUGGUUUAUAGCAGGCAGAUUAGUUGCAGAAGUU
rnacentral:lncRNA from 1 species